rnacentral:rRNA from 1 species
GACAGCAGCAGCCACGGUAAUACGGAGGGAGCUAGCGUUGUUCGGAAUUACUGGGCGUAAAGCGCGCGUAGGCGGUUACUCAAGUCAGAGGUGAAAGCCCGGGGCUCAACCCCGGAACUGCCUUUGAAACUAGGUGACUAGAAUCUUGGAGAGGUCAGUGGAAUUCCGAGUGUAGAGGUGAAAUUCGUAGAUAUUCGGAAGAACACAGUGGCGAAGGCGACUGACUGGACAAGUAUUGACGCUGAGGUGCGAAAGCGUGGGGAGCAAACAGGAUUAGAUACCCCCGUAGUCCCUGUCUCUUAUACA